rnacentral:rRNA from 1 species
GACGAACGCUGGCGGUGUGCUUAACACAUGCAAGUGGUGCGACGAACCAGAGCUUGCUCUGGGGCAAAGCCGCGAACGGGUGAGUAACACGUGGGUAAUCUACCCCGAUGACCGGGACAACCCGAGGAAACUCGGGCUAAUACCGGAUGUGGUGCACAGGCUGAAGCCUGUUCACUAAAGGUAGCUUCGGCUUCCGCAUUGGGAGGGGCCCGCGGCCCAUUAGCUUGUUGGUGGGGUCAAGGCCUACCAAGGCAACGAUGGGUAGCUGGUCUGAGAGGACGAUCAGCCACACUGGGACUGAGACACGGCCCAGACUCCUACGGGAGGCAGCAGUGGGGAAUCUUGCGCAAUGCGCGAAAGCGUGACGCAGCAACACCGCGUGAGGGAAGACGGCCUUAGGGUUGUAAACCUCUUUCAGAUGGGACGAAGGUUGUCCGGUGAAUAGCCGAGAUGAUUGACGGUACCGUCAGAAGAAGCUCCGGCUAACUACGUGCCAGCAGCCGCGGUAAUACGUAGGGAGCGAGCGUUGUCCGGAAUCAUUGGGCGUAAAGAGCACGUAGGUGGAUCAAUUAGUCUGCUGUGAAAGUCAAAGGCUCAACCUUUGAAAGCCGGUGGAUACUGUCGAUC